rnacentral:rRNA from 1 species
AUGAGCCCCUGGUGUCCAGGUACGCGCAAAAACUCUAACGUGGCCACAUGCCAAAAUGCCAGCCUCCUCCUUGGUUAUACCAAGAAACCAGGGGAUGUGUAUCAACAAGAGACAGUAAAAAAGGUUUAG